UAGAAAUACUUAAAAUGAAGAUGCAACAUGAACAGAUAGCUACUGAUGUCCUUCCAAAAUGUUUAAUGGAUUAAUUACGUUACUACAAUCUGACUGGAUAUUUGAACAUGGUAGCCACUUGCACCCUGAAGUACUGUAUCUUUAUUAGAGGGCCUGUAGCAGAAGUGAAAACAUGGCUGAUGCAUUUUAUAUUCAUGAACCCAGGGCAAUCUAAAUCCAAGAUUACCCUUCAGAUCUGAAGUUAACAUAAACCCUCAAAUGAUGAGUGGGCAGCUGAGAGGACCACAAAUUCUGCUCUUUGGGCAACAUCAUCACCCUGGAUAAUGAUGGCUCCGACCCUUAGAAUCUUUGACAAUU